rnacentral:rRNA from 1 species
CAGCUUUGUGACGGGACCGGCUGGCCGGUCCCAUGAGGUGACUUCUGCCCAGUGCUCUGAUUGUCAUGGCGAAGAGAUCCAGCCAAGCGCGGGUAAACGGCGGGAGUAACUAUGACUCUCUUAAGGUAGCCAAAUGCCUCGUCAACCAAUUAUUGACGCGCAUGAAUGGAUCAACGAGAUUCCUGCUGUCCCUAGGUGCUGUCCGGUGAACCCACAGCCAAGGGAACGGGCUUGGAUGUGCCAGCGGGGAAAGAAGACCCUGUUGAGUUUGACUCUAGUUUGAUGCUGUGCAACGACAUGUGGGGUGUAGCAUAGGUGGGAGGCGAGCGUCCGCAGAGUCCCCCACCCCGUGCGAGCGAUGUGCAAGGCGCGAACCGGCAGUGAAAUACCACUACCUUCACCGUCGUUUUACUCACCGAGUGGCUUGGGAGCGUCGGCCCCCCCGGCGCUGCGCGCGUCGGACUUGGGCCGGGGUUCAUCCCCCGGUCCAAUGGGCGGACAGCUUCGUGCGUCCAAAGCCCGGCCGUCUUCGGGCGGUCCGGUGACCCCGCGGGGGGGUGAGCCCUCACCCCGCCCGACCUAUCGGUGCCUCGGGACAACGAUCAGUUGGGGAGUUUGGCUGGGGCGGCACGCCUGUUACAGGACAACGCAGGCGUCCUGAAGCAUUGCUCAGAUGGAAGGGAAAUCUUGCGCGGAGGAGCAGGCCAAAGGUGCUGCUGAUGCUGCGACUUCCAGUACAAGUCCCGAACGUGCAAUCGUGGCCUUGCGAUCCUUCGGCAAGAAGCUCGAGUUCCGGAUAUUGAAGCCAGAGGUGUCAGAAAAAUUACCACAGGGAUAACUGGCUUGUGGCCGCCAAGCGUUCACAGCGACGUGGCUUUUUGAUCCUUCGAUGUCGGCUCUUCCUAGCUUCCCACCCGCAGCCGAGUGGAAGAGUUGGAUUGUUCACCCCCCAACAGGGAACGUGAGCUGGGUUUA